rnacentral:rRNA from 1 species
GACGAACGCUGGCGGCGUGCCUAACACAUGCAAGUCGAACGAGUGGCGGACGGGUGAGUAACGCGUAGUAACCUGCCCUUCAGGGGGGGAAAACAGUUGGAAACGACUGCUAAUACCGAAUACUGAAGGACGGGAUUGCGUGUGAUUGGCUAGUUGGAGCGGUAAAGGCCUACCAAGGCGACGAUCCGUAACUGGUCUGAGAGGAUGAUCAGCCACACUGGAACUGAGACACGGUCCAGACUCCUACGGGAGGCAGCAGUGGGGAAUAUUGGACAAUGGGCGAAAGCCUGAUGCAGCCAUGCCGCGUGUGUGAAGAAGGCCUUCGGAUUGUAAAGUACUUUAAGUGGGGAGGCGUUACCCACAGAAUAAGCACCGGCUAACUUCGUGCCAGCAGCCGCGGUAAUAC